CGGGGCGUAGCGCAGCCUGGUAGCGCACCUGGUUUGGGACCAGGGGGUCGCUGGUUCAAAUCCAGUCGCCCCGACUA
rnacentral:tRNA from 1 species